GGACAAUGACGAUAAACAUGAACAAAAUACACCGUCUUUCGGGACUGAUUAGUGCAUUCCACAUGCCAUGCUGUCAAAUCUGCAAUUCUGAUGUUC